UCUGAAACAUCUGGACACUGAAUUUCUGCAGAGGAGAAUCAGAGGAAAGAGACGAUCAGUGGUACUGGGUGUCUCCGGAGAGAUUUAAAUCAACGAUGAUAUUUUGGUUGCUCCCUUUGGAACAUUAACACAAAAAGUGAAAGGAAAAAACAACACAUCACAGGAACCCAGUGUUCUAAGAACACCAAGAGUGUAUAAGAAGAAACUCUGAAACGGCUCCAGAUACCAUGAGCUCCUUACUUCUCCUUUGCUUUUUUCACUCUGAGGAUUUGAAGGCAAGCAGCACCCACCCCACCACCCAGGUGUGAACAACAGGAGAUUACUCAUAGAUGGUAUAAACAGAAGGUUCACUGCGUGCAAGAUACUGUACUUGGCCGGUAGGAGGUAAUAGCAUUCAGCCUCAGGAAUCAGUGUGAAAACAGAGCAGAAUAUUUGGAACUGCUGUGUAUCCUGCUCGGGUCAUGAUCUCACUGUUCG